UAAAAGAUUUGCGUCCAAAUUUGAACUGAAGAUCGCUAAAUCAAUUAGGAUAUUCUUUUCCUGAUUUUUAGCGCGCCAUAUUAGGAAGAUUCCUAUUAAUUACUAAUUAAUAAAUGGUAUAAAAAUUGUAGAAAAACAGUGCACAAGAUGUGUAAUUUAGAUACUAUGCACAUAUUUGUUAAUAAGGUUUCAUAUAUGGUAUAGAUAGGAAAAAAUCUCUUGCUGAAAUAACGACUAAAAAAGACAGUCCGAUGUACUAAACUUCCGUUAUGUGCGGGUUCGGUGAAGGGCCGGACCACAAGGGUCUAUUGUAUGCAGCCUUACCCUGCAUUUCUGCAAGAGAUUGUUUACACGGCUCGAAACUGUGACCUCCUGAUCACAUGACAACAACUUUACCAAUUACACCAAGGUCCCCCUUGAUCCACGGCUAAAAUAAUGACUAAUUUUUUGAAAGCAGAAUGUUAAGAAA
rnacentral:lncRNA from 1 species